CCUACGGGUGGCAGCAGUGGGGAAUAUUGCACAAUGGGGGAAACCCUGAUGCAGCGACGCCGCGUGAGCGAAGAAGUCUUUCGGUGUGUAAAACUCUAUCAGCAGGGACGAAAAACGCCGCUACCUGGCUCCCCCUCCCCGUCUCCCUACGUGCCAGCAGCCGCUGUAAUCCGUAGGGGGCAGGCGUUAUCCGGAUUUACUGGGGGUAAAUGGGGCGUAGACGGCAAGGUAAGCCAGAAGGGAAAGGGCAGGGGCCAACCCUGUACAUGCUUUUGUAACUGGGGUGCUAGAGUGCAGGAGAGGUAAGUGGAAUGCGUAGUGUAGCGGUGAAAUGCGUAGAUAUUAGGAGGAACACCAGUGGCGAAGGCGGCUUACUGGAUUGUAACUGACGUUGAGGCUCGAAAGCGUGGGGAGCAAACAGGAUUAGAUACCCGAGUAGUC
rnacentral:rRNA from 1 species